AUUGAACGCUGGCGGCAGGCCUAACACAUGCAAGUCGAACGCGUUGCGGCCGGGUGAGUAAUGUCUGGGAAACUGCCCGAUGGAGGGGGAUAACUACUGGAAACCGUAGCUAUUACCGCAUACCAUCGGAUGUGCCCCGAUGGGAUUAGCUAGUAGGUGGGGUAACGGCUCACCCAGGCGACGAUCCCUAGCUGGUCUGAGAGGAUGACCAGCCACACUGGAACUGAGACACGGUCCAGACUCCUACGGGAGGCAGCAGUGGGGAAUAUUGCACAAUGGGCGCAAGCCUGAUGCAGCCAUGCCGCGUGUAUGAAGAAGGCCUUCGGGUUGUAAAGUACUUUCAGCGGGGAGGCGUUACUCGCAGAAGAAGCACCGGCUAACUCCGUGCCAGCAGCCGCGGUAAUUC
rnacentral:rRNA from 1 species